rfam:Oryza nivara chromosome 5, whole genome shotgun sequence.
CGUAAGUACAAUCAUUAGUUUCCACGCCCAACUUUAAUUGUUUGUAUUAUUUGAAAAUUUUUCGUAAUUAGUAUUUUUAUUGUUAUGUGAUAAUAAAAUAUGAAUAGUAUUUUAUACGUGACUUUAUAUUUUUAAUUUUUUUAAAAAAAUUAAAUAAGAUAAACGGUUAAAAUUAGGCAUGAGUUUAUAGAUGUGAAUAAU